rnacentral:rRNA from 1 species
AACGCUAGCUACAGGCUUAACACAUGCAAGUCGAGGGGUAACGAGAGGAAAGCUUGCUUUCCUUGUCGACGACCGGCGCACGGGUGAGUAACGCGUAUCCAACCUGCCCCCAACUAGGGAAUAACCUUGCGAAAGUAAGACUAAUACCCUAUAAUUUCCUCAGAUGUCAUCUGACGAGGAAUAAAGAUUUAUCGGUUGUGGAUGGGGAUGCGUCUGAUUAGCUUGUUGGCGGGGUAACGGCCCACCAAGGCAACGAUCAGUAGGGGUUCUGAGAGGAAGGUCCCCCACAUUGGAACUGAGACACGGUCCAAACUCCUACGGGAGGCAGCAGUGAGGAAUAUUGGUCAAUGGGCGGAAGCCUGAACCAGCCAAGUAGCGUGCAGGAUGACGGCCCUAUGGGUUGUAAACUGCUUUUAUACAGGAAUAAAGUUAGCCACGUGUGGUUAUUUGUAGGUACUGUAUGAAUAAGGACCGGCUAAUUCCGUGCCAGCAGCCGCGGUAAUACGGAAGGUCCAGGCGUUAUCCGGAUUUAUUGGGUUUAAAGGGAGCGUAGGCCGUCUGUUAAGCGUGUUGUGAAAUGUAGAUGCUCAACAUCUGAAUUGCAGCGCGAACUGGCAGACCUGAGUGUGCGCAACGUAGGCGGAAUUCGUGGUGUAGCGGUGAAAUGCUUAGAUAUCACGAAGAACUCCGAUUG